GGGUAGCGGAGAAAUUCCAAUCGAACCCGGAGAUAGCUGGUUCUCCCCGAAAUAGUUUUAGGACUAGCCUCAAGUUAGAUACCUGGAGGUAAAGCACUGAAUAGCCUAGCGGCCGAGAGGUUAGCGAAGCUUAUCAAACUCAGAAUGCCAGAGUAUUGAUGCUUGGGAGUCAGACAGUGUCAGAUAAAUGUCAUUGUCAAAAGGGAAACAGCCCAGAUCUACAGCUAAGGUCCCAAAGUCAGGUUAAGUGGAAAACGAUGUGAAGAUACGCAGACAACCAGGAUGUUGGCUCAGAAGCAGCCACUCAUUCAAAGAGUGCGUAAUAGCUCACUGGUCGAGCGUCUUUGCGCGGAGAAUUUAACGGGGCUAAACCUGACACCGAAGCUUAGGCAAUACAGCAAUGUAUUGGGUAGGGGAGCGUUGUAUACGCGGUGAAACAGUAGCGCAAGCGGCUGUGGAGUGUAUAGAAGUGAGAAUGCCGGAAUGAGUAGCGCGAAUGCAGUGAGAAUCUGCAUGGCCGAAAGCCUCAGGUUUCUGGAGGAAGGUUCGUCCGCUCCAGGUCAGUCGGGAGCUAAGGUGAGGCCUAACGGCGUAGCCGAUGCACAGACGGUAGAGAUUCCGUCACCACCAAAAGAGUUAAACACAGGGACACAUAUGAAGUCUCGGAGCCGGGUGUUGGUUCCGGUAGCGAUCGAGGGAAGUUAGUACCGAAGUCCGGGAUGGAAGAUGGCGAGAAAAGCUGUGUGUAUUUCUGCGGUGCCCGUACCGCAAACCGACACAGGUAGGUAGGAAGAAGAUUCUAAGGCCAACGGGAGAAGGGUUGUUAAGGAACUCGGCAAAUUGACCCCGUAACUUCGGGAGAAGGGGUGCUGCAGCAAUGCAGCCGCAGAGAAUCGGCCCAAGCAACUGUUUACCAAAAACACAGGUUUGUGCUAAAUCGAAAGAUGACGUAUACGAGCUGACGCCUGCCCGGUGCUGGAAGGUUAAGAGGAGAUGUGCAAGCAUUGAAUCGAAGCCCCAGUGAACGGCGGCCGUAACUAUAACGGUCCUAAGGUAGCGAAAUUCCUUGUCAGGUAAGUUCUGACCCGCAUGAAAGGCGUAAUGAUUUGGGCACUGUCUCAACAGCCCGCCCGGCGAAAUUGUAGUACCGGUGAAGAUGCCGGUUACCCGCGACAAGACGGAAAGACCCCAUGGAGCUUUACUGUAGCCUAAUAUUGGGUUUCGAUGUUGCAUGCACAGGAUAGAUGGGACACUGGGAAGCAGGUGCUUUGGCGCUUGUGGAGUGGCCGUUGGGAUACCAUCCUUGCGAUAUUGGAAUUCUAACCUGCGCCUUUGAAUCAAGGCGGGGGACAUUGUUAGGUGGGCAGUUUGACUGGGGCGGUCGCCUCCUAAAGAGUAACGGAGGCGUUCAAAGGUUCGCUCAGCUUGAACGGAAAUCAAGCAAAAGAGUGCAAACGCAGAAGCGAGCCUAACUGCGAGACUGACGGGUCGAGCAGUAACGAAAGUUGGAGUUAGUGAUCCGGUGGUAUGUGAGUGGAAAUGCCAUCGCUCAACGGAUAAAAGUUACCCUGGGGAUAACAGGCUGAUCUCCCCCAAGAGUCCACAUCGACGGGGAGGUUUGGCACCUCGAUGUCGGCUCAUCGCAUCCUGGGGCUGUAUUCGGUCCCAAGGGUUUGGCUGUUCGCCAAUUAAAGCGGUACGCGAGCUGGGUUCAGAACGUCGUGAGACAGUUCGGUCCCUAUCUGUCGUGGGCGCAGGAUAUUUGAUGGGAGCUGUUCCUAGUACGAGAGGACCGGAGCGGACGUACCUCUGGCGCACCAGUUGUUCUGCCAAGAGCAUAGCUGGGCAACUAUGUACGGAUCGGAUAAACGCUGAAAGCAUCUAAGCGUGAAGCCGACCCAAAGAUAAGAUAUCCCAUUGUUUCAAACAAGUAAGACCCCUUGAAGACUACAAGGUUGAUAGGCACGAUGUGUAAGUGGAGCGAUCCAUUCAGCAAGCGUGUACUAAUAGGUCGAGGGCUUGACCAC
rnacentral:rRNA from 1 species